GCUGGAGGUGGUACAGGAAUUGGUACUGGCACUGGUACUGGCACUGGUACUGGCUCAGGUUCGGGUUCAGGUUCGGGUUC
rnacentral:tRNA from 1 species